rnacentral:lncRNA from 1 species
UUCUGAAUUCUGACAAAAAAAUGUGAAGCAUACUUUGCUUUAUCCAUUUGAAACAUUUUUUUGACAAAUACUUUUAUUUCAAUCUUAUAGACAUAGAUUUCACGAAGGCUACUACUUCAAACUUUACUCGAUGAAUCCUUACCUUAAAGCUUCUGCUCCCAUGAUUGGAAUGGUGUAAUAUUUGUCAAUUAUUUUUGAAUUACUG